rnacentral:rRNA from 1 species
CCAAUAGCGUAUAUUAAAGUUGUUGCAGUUAAAAAGCUCGUAGUUGAAUUUCGGGGUCAUCAGGUCGGUCGUGCCACUGGUAUGCACUGGCCUCGGUGAUUCCUCCUUCUUGAAGAAGCGUGAUGCCAUUAAGUUGGUGUUGCGGGGAAUCAGGACUGUUACUUUGAAAAAAUUAGAGUGUUUAAAGCAAGCUCGCGCUUGAAUACAUUAGCAUGGAAUAAUAGAAUAGGACGUUCGAUCCUAUUUUGUUGGUUUCUAGGGUUGACGUAAUGAUUAAUAGGGAUAGUUGGGGGCAUUAGUAUUCAAUUGUCAGAGGUGAAAUUCUUGGAUUUAUUGAAGACUGACUACUGCGAAAGCAUUUGCCAAGGAUGUUUUCAUUAAUCAAGAACGAAAGUUAGGGGAUCGAAGACGAUCAGAUACCGUCGUAGUCUUAACCAUAAACUAUGCCGACUAGGGAUCGGAUGAUGUUAAUUUUUUAAUGACUCAUUCGGCGCCUUACG